rnacentral:lncRNA from 1 species
UGGGUGGACUCCACAGCCAUUUGCUGGGCUAAAAGAUCCCAGGGCGAGGGCACCACACCAACUGCACACCUGUGGCACCACAGCCCUACCAAGGGAUCCUCCACCCUUGACCCACUGCAUCACCAGACCACCACCAGACAUAUCCCACAACCUGGUGUGACUCUCCCAAACUCAGAGGACUAGCAGGUUCACAGAGAGUUGCAACUGUCCUUGUGACCUAAUCUUUGGCAUUGGCCACCCCUAAUGGAGGGCCGAGUGCAGCCUACAAGGGCCCCUUUUGGGCCAAGGAGAUGUAGAUAUGGUGCCAGUGAUUGAAGGGGGCUUCUCCAAGGUCUGGGAACAGCCUUGGUGACAGGGUCAUCUCUUGCCCCAUCUCCCCCUCCCCAGAGCACUGCUGCAUAAUCACUGAAAUACAAAAGUGGUCCACAGCUCAGUAUGAGCCUAUUUGGUGGCCCAUAUUCUUAAGUGCUAUCUACUGUAUCAAAGCUUGAAUUAUACCACCAAACAAAAAUAAAUUUCUUCAGCAUAGAAAGCCUGUGAAACUCAAAGCAGGAAACUAGCCACAACUAAGGAACCCACACAGAACUCUGGCCCUCUGAAAGCACCCAGAAAAGAAGCCAAUAGAUUAUGCACUAGAAGUACCACAGUCAGGCCGGACGCAGUGGCUCAUGCCUGUAAUCCCAGCACUUUGGGAGGCUGAGGCAGGCGGAUCAUGAAUAUUGAUCAAUGUAAUAUACCAUAUUAACAGAAUGAAGAA